rnacentral:rRNA from 1 species
UGAUUAGAGCGGCGGACGGGUGAGUAACGCGUAGGAAUCUACCUAGUAGAAGGGGAUAGCCCGAGGAAACUCGGAUUAAUACCGUAUACCUCCUUCGGGAGAAAGAAGGCCUCUAUUUGAAGCUUUCACUAUUUGAUGAGCCUGCGUAAGAUUAGCUUGUUGGUGAGGUAAAAGCUCACCAAGGCGACGAUCUUUAGCUGGUCUGAGAGGACGAUCCGCCACAUUGGGACUGAGACACGGCCCAGACUCC